CGGCGGACGGGUGAGUAACACGUGGAUAACCUACCUAUAAGACUGGGAUAACUUCGGGAAACCGGAGCUAAUACCGGAUAAUAUUUUGAACCGCAUGGUUCAAAGUGAAAGACGGUCUUGCUGUCACUUAUAGAUGGAUCCGCGCUGCAUUAGCUAGUUGGUAAGGUAACGGCUUACCAAGGCAACGACGCAUAGCCGACCUGAGAGGGUGAUCGGCCACACUGGAACUGAGACACGGUCCAG
rnacentral:rRNA from 1 species